rnacentral:rRNA from 1 species
UUCUGCAGUUGUAUCACUUUGGGCUAGGAUUUUGUAAAGGAGGCAUGGUUGGACCUGGAGAGUACUUGGAUGGGGGACCUUCGAGGAAAAGCCCAACCACUGCUGGAA